ACUCAUACCUGGCAGGGGAGAUACAAAAUGCUUUUCCCACGGUGAGGCUCUAUUGCACUUUGGAUGUGCUUACCCCUGUGAUUUCCCCAAAUGUGGGAAAAUCAACUGCCUAAGUGGGGGACUGUGUUUGUGGUUUCCCCUG
rnacentral:snRNA from 1 species